rfam:Schistosoma haematobium scaffold439_1, whole genome shotgun sequence.
GUUCAGCUGACGGGUCCCGAAUAGGACGAAAAUCGCGUCCUGGAU